rnacentral:rRNA from 1 species
UGAGGAAUAUUGGGCAAUGCCCGCAAGGGUGACCCAGCAACGCCGCGUGGAGGAUGAAUGUCGUAAGAUUGUAAACUCCUGUUAGAGGGGAAGAAUAGUACCGGUUGGACCGGUAUAUGACUGUACCCUCAGAGAAAGCCCCGGCUAACUACGUGCCAGCAGCCGCGGUAAUACGUAGGGGGCAAGCGUUGUCCGGAUUUACUGGGUGUAAAGGGCGCGCAGGCGGGAUAAAAAGUCAGUGGUGAAAUCCUACAGCUUAACUGUAGAACUGCCUUUGAUACUUUUAUUCUUGAGUUCGGGAGAGAGAGACGGAAUUCCAGGUGUAGUGGUGAAAUACGUAGAUAUCUGGAAGAACGCCAGUUGCGAAGGCGGUCUCUUGGUCCGACACUGACGCUGAGGCGCGAAAGCGUGGGGAGCAAACA